UCCGGAAUUCUGGGUGUAAAGGGUGAGUAGGCGGCAUCAUAAGUCAUAUGUGAAAGCCCGGGGCUCAACCCCGGGAUUGCAUAAGAAACUGUGAGGCUAGAGUACAGGAGAGGUAAGCGGAAUUCCUAGUGUAGCGGUGAAAUUCGUAGAUAUUCGGAGGAACACCAGUGGCGAAGGCGGCUCACUGGCUCGAUACUGACGCUGAGGUGCGAAAGCGUGGGGAGCGAACAGGAUUAGAUACCCUGGUAGUCCACGCUGUAAACGAUGAGUGCUAGGUGUCGGGUCGAGAGACUCGGUGCCGCAGCUAACGCAAUAAGCACUCCACCUGGGGAGUACGGCCGCAAGAUUGAAACUCAAAGGAAUUGACGGGGGCCCGCACAAGCGGUAAUCGAAU
rnacentral:rRNA from 1 species